rnacentral:rRNA from 1 species
UGGGGAAUUUUGGACAAUGGGCGCAAGCCUGAUCCAGCAAUGCCGCGUGCAGGAUGAAGGCCUUCGGGUUGUAAACUGCUUUUGUACGGAACGAAAAGCCUCUCUCUAAUACAGGGGGUGAUGACGGUACCGUAAGAAUAAGCACCGGCUAACUACGUGCCAGCAGCCGCGGUAAUACGUAGGGUGCAAGCGUUAAUCGGAAUUACUGGGCGUAAAGCGUGCGCAGGCGGUUUUGUAAGACAGUGGUGAAAUCCCCGGGCUCAACCUGGGAACUGCCAUUGUGACUGCAAGGCUGGAGUGCGGCAGAGGGGGAUGGAAUUCCGCGUGUAGCAGUGAAAUGCGUAGAUAUGCGGAGGAACACCGAUGGCGAAGGCAAUCCCCUGGGCCUGCACUGACGCUCAUGCACGAAAGCGUGGGGAGCAAACAGGAUUAGAUACCCUGGUAGUCCACGCCCUAAAACGAUGUCAACUGGUUGUUGGGGAUUUAUUUCUUCAGUAACGAAGCUAACGCGUGAAGUUGACCGCCUGGGGGAGUACGGCCGCAAGGUUAAAAACUCAAAAUGAAUUGACGGGGUCAUAGCUGUUUCCU